GUCUCUACAUCUUUUCUUUGGCCUCACUGAACCAUCACCCAGCCUAGGCUUCGAGUCUGCUGGGGUGUGGCUGCACAAUGGUGUCCUCAUGAGAAGAGGGAAAUCUGGACACAGAGAGAGACACACAGGGAGAACUCUAUAAGGAGAUGGCAGAAAUUGGAGUUGCGCAGCUAUAAGCCGAGGAUGACAGGUGACACCAGAACCUGGGGCAGACACGGAACAGGUUCUCCACUAGAGCCUUUCAGUGAGAAUGGCCCAGACGACACCUUAAUUUUGGACUUCCAGUGCCCAGAAUGUGCGUCACAAGGGGCACACUGUGGGAGACUGAAGGCUGCACACUGUGUGCGGACAAUGUCCCACUUUUGGAACUGCUCUCUGCUGAAUGUAGAAGAACCAGCCCAUGACAACAAGUAGGAGUGUCGUGUGUUGUGGGAGGAAAUCCCACAAAGUGGGGGAGAAAUGUGCUCCUUAGACGUUAUCUGAUGGGCCAAGUCAGUCCUGAGGGCUCUGCCCUGAUCCCAUGAGACGCUACAGUAGGCUCCCCAUGAGCCUUAUACUUCCCAUUCUGCGAAUAAAAACUGGUCUGCACAGACUA